AUUCAAUGUCAUGUUGUAAUUCCCCCCUGGUUGAUUUUUUGAUGCUAGUAUUUGCAAUUGGAUUUGUGAUACUUUAAGAAGCACGGACACCACGUGACACGACAUGGACACAUGGACAUGUAAAUUUUCAAAAAAUGCAGGACACAACACGUUGGGGGCACGUUCAAAACAUAUAUCUUUAUAUUUUUAUCGUAUGUAUAUUUUUAAAUAUUUAAUAUGUAUUUUAUGUCAAAUAUUUAAUUUUAGCAAAUUUAUCUAAGUAUGCUAUUUUAGUUUAAAAAAAAAAAAAAAAAUUAUAGUUUUUUUUUGAAAAAAAAUAGCACUUAGUGUGUCCCUAGCAUGUCACUUGCAUGUCCUUAGCGUGUUCCAACGUGUCCAAAGCGUGUACAAAGUGUCCCUACGUGUCCGACACGUGUCCUGAGCUUUUUCAGCAUGUGUCCAUGUCCAACACGUGUCUGACUCCUGUACACGACCUCCGGAGAGGUGUCCAUGCUUCAUAGGUGAUACUUGCUUGGCAGCUUUGUUGACAUUCACUUGUGUGGUUGUUGUUAACUCAUCAACACUGCAUCUCCUGUUUUGUUUCUUUCUGUUGUGUUAAUUGCCUAAGGAACUAGGUUUUGAUUAUCUCCGAGAUAAUCUUUCUGGAAGCAGCGAACAACUUGUGAUGAGAUGGCCCAAGCCAUUUAAUUUUGCAAUAGUUGAUGAAGUUGAUUCAGUCCUCAUUGAUGAAGGGAGAAAUCCUCUAUUGAUAAGUGGCGAGGCAAGUAAAGAUGCUGCACGAUAUCCAGUUGCUGCAAAAGUUGCUGAGCUGCUUGUACGGGACCUUGU